rnacentral:rRNA from 1 species
UACGGAGGAUUCGAGCGUUAUCCGGAUUUAUUGGGUUUAAAGGGUGCGUAGGCGGCUUUUUAAGUCAGCGGUGAAAUUUAGAGGCUCAACCUCGAAAGCGCCGUUGAUACUGGGGGGCUUGAGUGCGGAUGAAGUUGGCGGAAUGCGGCAAGUAGCGGUGAAAUGCAUAGAUAUGCCGCAGAACACCGAUAGCGAAGGCAGCUGACUAAGGCGCAACUGACGCUGAUGCACGAAGGCGCGGGUAUCGAACAGG